CUGGCAGUGAACAACCGUGAGAGGUCCUGCUCAGCCAUUGGUCAGUGCCACAGUAGCCACCGCCCCCUCCUCCACCAAAUGAGCAACUGGCAGUGAACAACCGUGAGAGGUCCUGCUCAGCCAUUGGCCAGUGCCACAGUAGCCACCGCCCCCUCCUCCACCAAAUGAGCAACUGGCAGUGAACAACCGUGAGAGGUCCUGCUCAGCCAUUGGUCAGUGCCACAGUAGCCACCGCCCCCUCCUCCACCAAAUGAGCAACUGGCAGUGAACAACCGUGAGAGGUCCUGCUCAGCCAUUGGCCAGUGCUGCCGUGGGCCCCUCCCCCAGCAAGCCACUGUCAAGGGGAGACUGUUACUGGGCACAUUCAACCAGCAGUCGGGGAGUGGUGGUCCUCAGGUGGAGAGUGAGGAAACACUACGCUACAGGAUUUCACCUUAUCAGAUUGGCAAAGAAUAAAAGUCUCGCAGUACUGAAUGAUGACAAGGAUGGAGAACAAUGAGAACAUUCAUACCUGCUGAUGGAAAUGUAAAUUGGUCAAUACCCUUGGAAAUCAACUUGUCAAUAUUUAGAAUAGUUGAAGAUAUAUAAGACCUCAGAGCUAGCAAUACUCCUUCUAGGAAUAAACCCUGAGCAUUAAUGUAAGGAAUCACUUAUAAGAAUGUUCAUUACAGCCUUAUUGAUAAUUGUAAAAAUUGGAAACAGGGCAGAUUUCCAUUGAAAGUAAAAUAAAAUUGUGAUGUAUUUAACACAAUAGACUAUAGCAAUUAAUGAACUUGUGAGUGCUGCAUGUUUUAACAUGGGUGCAUCUUUAAAAUAUAAUGUUAUAAAAAGCAAGUUGCAAAGUGA
ensembl:lncRNA